UGCUCUGUGGGAAAUGCCAGGAGCCGUACGACUAACUGACGUGUGGUUCUUGCCUCUUCUCAG
rnacentral:miRNA from 1 species